CAAAGCUCAUGUGUUGGGUGGAAAGUGGUGAAACAGAAAAAUGCAUGCAUUUAUUUCAUAUGGAUUGUGCUCAUGCCUCCUAUGAAUCUUUGCAGAGAUCAGAGAAACUCUAAUCAAUCCAUCUAGCAAAGCAAAUAAGAGGAAGAGAGAUGAUGUAGCUCUGGAAGAACAGGAGUCCUGGGUGGUGGUCCUGGAGAAAGACCUGCCAGAAGAUGACUCUGAAGAUGUCACAUACGAGCCAUCAGAAGUGGAAACAGAUAGCGAGGAGUACAAGUCCCAGAAUGACACUGAGACAGACUUGGAGUUUGAAGAGCAGGAAGGGGCCAUAGUACUGACGGAAUCAUCAAAUCUCCAGAUCCAGGGAUGA
rnacentral:lncRNA from 1 species